rnacentral:lncRNA from 1 species
AAAAAAAAAAAAAAGGAAAUGGGAAGUGUUAAUGCUUAUGCUUUGAUUGAGCUUCUCGCCACGAAGUUUUGUGUUUCUAUCUGUUUGGUUGGUUUGUUUUAUUUCUUGCAUGAACAUGGCAGACAAAUUAUAGUGAUAAUAAAAUUCAAAGAAACUCAAAGUGAUCAUAAGAGGGUUGGUUCUUUAUUCCCUUUCGUGGCCACAAUGUUUGGUAUUUGGUAGUCGGACACACCAAUUGAAACCUAACAUUAGUUAACUCAUACUAAACAUGUCUUAGUUUGAUACUACAUAGUUCGUCGUUUUAUAUUCGCAGCACUAACGAAAAAAAAUUCGUUUUUAGCUAUUUGAGUGGUACUACGCACUAGUCACACACUCAAAUUCUACAAAACGUUGACAAAAAAAAAAAAAAAAGGAAAAAACAUUUUAUUAAAUCAAAUGGCACCACCACAUAACGAGAAUAUUCGUAGUGAGACACGUUCCUUACUCGUUAUACCAACAACAAAAAUGUUAAAACAUAUAAACAAAUAUAUAUAUACAUAAACUCUUUAGAUUCAUUUUUUUUUUUGUCAACUUUUAUCAUUAAACUUUAAAAUCCAUAAAGGGUUACAACAUCAAGGAGCCCAUUACAUGAUAUUAAAGCCCAAUUAACCCACUAAAACAUUACAGCUAAUUAAACAAAAUAGGUUAACUAGGACACGUAUGUGAACACGUGUAGAUACUCAAAGUGGUGUGGAAGAACACUCCAUUACUCAUCACCGCCUUUCACACCGGAACUGAAAUAAUGGCUAGAUCUAGAUUUUCCAGCGAGCAAAUCACCUUUUUGAGCACGAAGAUCUAUCAUAUUUCAGUUUUGGACUCCAAAUUCGUCAAAGAUCUUUUGCAGCUUUCUCCGAACAUAAGGAAACAGAGAGCUUUGAAUCUUCAGAGCAGUUAAUUCUUGGAAGACAUAAGGAGAAGGUGAGAUUUCAGAUUAGUCGCAAAACACGCUCUCCUAAUCCGUUCUUCACCAACUAAUGAAUUCCAUUCACCACGAUUUACAAACUCAAAGAGAAACCGUCAUCCCUUGCCGAGUAUACGGCUUCCACAUGGGUAUGAGGAUUUACUCUCCUCUUGAUUGAAAUCGAGCAGCCUAAUGAUUCAAAAAUCUCUGUAUCACCUCUCGGCUUCAAUCUCCUUAACAUAAAAGAGAUUUAUCUUGCUCUGCAAAAGGAAGAUAAAGACUAAAAACUUACAGAAUUACCAUAAAAACUAAGAGAAACUCGCAUCUAGGCGAGAGAGAUAAUCCGGAUAUAACCGGAACAAAAAACCGACAGAAACUCGUCGGAAAAUAGUACUUAAGCUUUCCCUCUCUGAAAGAUCCGAGAGAGAUAAGAGAGAGAAAGCUCUUGUCCCAAACUUAGUUAUUGUUUUGUCGACAAUAAACUCUUUAGAUUCAUUUUCU